rnacentral:lncRNA from 1 species
AAGUACUUACAAGGGUCCUAAAAUUUAAAACAGCUGAAAGAGGUGGUUGACAGUAUCUUGCUAAACUCUUGCUAAUGCUGAGACUGGGGAAUGACCCCUGCCCCAAGUUAAGGUCCUUUCCUCUCAUUAGAAUCCUUAAAGAAACCCAUUGUGUUUGAAGUGGGGCUGAGAACUGUUGUUGCAUUCUCAGAUCCUCAGAGAACAUUUGUAACUUCACUAGUCUUUUCUCUUACCUCCUGUGUGUAUUACCUCUUGGGCAUUGUUUGAGUUGGUCUGACAUGAAUAAUUAUAAGGAAAUCCAAUUGAAAACAGAAUCGCUCUGUAUAAUCUGUGCUCCCAUAACUAAUUACAGCCACUUAUGUGUGGUGGCCACUAUUUCUGGCUUGUUCACGAAUGCAUAAAAACUAAUAUGUGUCA